rnacentral:rRNA from 1 species
AUGAACGUUGGCGGUGUGCCUAAUACAUGCAAGUCGAACGAAGAUGAUAGCAAUAUUGUCUUAGUGGCGAACGGGUGAGUAACGCGUUGGUGACCUGCCCCGAAGUGUGGAAUAACAAUUCGAAAGGGUUGCUAAUACCGCAUGUGGUUUUUCGGAUUAGAUGCCGAAUUUCUAAAGGAGAAAUUCGCUUCGGGAGGGGCCUGCGUCCCAUCAGCUAGUUGGUAGGGUAAUGGCCUACCAAGGCGAUGACGGGUAGGGGACCUGAGAGGGUGACCCCCCACAAUGGAACUGAAACACGGUCCAUACACCUACGGGUGGCAGCAGUAGGGAAUAUUGGUUAAUGGGCGAAAGCCUGAACCAGCAACGCCGCGUGUGCGAUGACGGCCUUCGGGUUGUAAAGCACUUUUUGAGGGGAUGAGGAAGGACAGUACCCUCAGAAUAAGUCUCGGCUAACUACGU